GCAGAACACAGCACAGAAUAGAUUGGAGUCUAUGGAGACGGCAAUGUCCGCGUAGUCCUGAUUCAAUCUGCGCCGGCCGCCAUCGGAUUUCAUAUCCCCAUUUAGGCCGCAAGUCCCGACUUGACCGCCGUACAGAAACAAAAAUGCAUCUGCAUUAUGUUAGUGUGAACAUGGCCUAAGGAAGCUAGGGAGAUUUAUAUGAGCAAACACCGAGUGACGUUACAGAAUCAGAUAUGGGGACAAAAGAAGUGGAUCCGGCCCGUAUCCGGGGUCAGGCGUUCCAGACAGAUAAUCAACCACAUGAAAGGCCGAGAAGCAGCGUCCUGUGACGGGAGAGACGAUGGAGAAAAUGUCGCCCAUACCCGGCUCCGGCAGCCAUUACCGUACUAAACAAUUACUGACCGCUG